AACAGAACAGAAGACACUGACCAACUAGAAGUUUGGUGUCAGGCACCAACCAUUUUUGGACUAACAAAGAAUAAAAACCUCAUAUCUCUCUUUUGCUUAUCCAUUCCUCAUCACAUUCACAAAGCUUCUCUUUCUCCCAUCAGAAUAUAAUUUUCUCUUUCUCUCUUCUCGUCUGAUAGAUUUGAAGGAUAGCAAGGAGAAAUAGAGAGGAAAAUGGGAGAGAUGAAGAGUAUGCAAAUGGGUGUGAUUGGAGCCUUGUUUCUGUCUGUAGCAUCUUCUGUCUCCAUUGUAAUUUGCAACAAAGCUUUGAUGACCAAUCUUGGCUUCCCUUUUGCAACGACACUAACAAGUUGGCAUUUGAUGGUAACAUAUUGCACACUUCAUGUGGCAUAUAAACUAAAUUUCUUUGAAAAUAAACCAAUAGACACAAAGACUGUUGUUCUCUUUGGCCUCCUCAAUGGCAUCUCCAUUGGUCUUCUGAAUCUCAGCCUCGGCUUCAAUUCCAUCGGCUUCUAUCAAAUGACCAAACUUGCUAUCAUUCCAUUCACUGUACUAUUGGAAACUCUCUUCCUCAACAAGAAGUUCAGUCGAAAGAUAAAAUUCUCAUUGUUUUUGCUAUUGGUUGGGGUUGGAAUAGCAUCAAUCACAGAUCUUCAGCUCAAUUUUGUUGGUUCUGUUCUCUCUCUCCUUGCCAUCGCAACAACUUGCGUCGGCCAAAUUCUAACAAACACUAUCCAAAAGAGACUGAACGUGACAUCAACACAACUCCUUUACCAAUCGGCCCCGUUUCAAGCCGCUAUACUAUUUGUUUCGGGUCCCUUUGUCGACAAAUACCUCACUCGCCUCAACGUCUUCUCCUUCCAUUACUCUCCUAUCGUUGUGGGGUUCAUAACGCUGUCGUGUUUAAUAGCGGUUUCCGUUAACUUCAGCACGUUUUUAGUGAUCGGAAAGACAUCUCCGGUGACGUACCAAGUCUUGGGGCAUCUCAAAACGUGUUUGGUGCUUGCUUUUGGUUACACUCUCCUCCACGAUCCAUUCACUCCUCGUAACAUCGCAGGAAUCCUAAUCGCGGUCCUUGGCAUGCUUCUCUACUCCUACUUCUGCUCCGUUGCUUCUAAAUCAAAACAAGGCUCCUCCGAGUCCUCUUUUAUUGGGAAAGACAGGGAUACAACGCCGCUUUUGAGCCAAGAAAAAGAGAACCAUGAAGCCAAGAAAUUAGACAAGCAUUCUCCAGUAUAAUUGAUUACACCAUAAAAUAAAAAUAGCUCAAAUCUCAAAAUCACGAAUGCAGUGAAGUUGAUGUGAGGGAUUGACUCUAUGCCCAAUAAAUAAAACUGAGAAUAUAUACUGCACCAACACGGCUGAUUCCACAGCAAGCAAUGAUCAUGUACUCUACUGAAUUUAUAAUGAUUUAUCUAGCCUUUCAUUUGACCAUAAUAGCCCAAAACUUCUUGCUGGAAAAAUUAAAAAAAAAAAGAAAACUUGUUAUUCCAGUGUUAACUUUUUUUGUCAGCUUUCCAUGUUAACUGAAAGAAAAAAAAAACAUUGAAAAUUUCUUAACUGAAAGAAAAGUGUAAAAAAUACUCACGUUCAUAUUUCAAAUCGAGACCUUGUGCUUUAAAUCUAUAUUAGCGAUUAAUCUGCACGCUCGUGCGGAUGUUAAUUUUUUUAUUUUAUAAAUUGAUAUUUUAUUUUUCAUGAUUAAUAUUAUAUAUUUUAUAUGUUUCAAAAUACAAUUAAUUGUAUAUGUAUUUGAAUAUUUUAGGUGUCUAUACAUAAUUAUCGAAUCCGAAUUAAAUAGAGUAAUGCGAUUACUUUGGUUAUUCGUAGAUUAAAUUUAGUUUAAAUUCCAAAUACCCAAACUGAAUCAGUUAAUAUUGUUACUUUUGUUACAAAUAUCUGAACUGGCAUCAGAUACAUUAGUUUUUGGAUAUUUGUAGGUUUUUAUAUAUCAAAACUGAAUUCAUCUGGACUUGAAAGACUCGGUUCGAAACCCACAUGAAUUUUAUAAUACCCGAAUGAAACCUAGUUUUAAAACUCAAAAAACCUGAUACCCAAAAGAAAUAACUCGUACCUGAAUAAGUACCCGAAUGUCUAUAUCCAACUGAUUAUAUAAACACAUAAAAAAAUAUUAAUGAUUUUGAAUUCUCGUCACAAAUAGAGUAAUUUCAUUCAAAUAUAUUGAAUUAUUAUAAUUAAUAUGUAAAAUAAAUGCUAUCAAAAUAUUAUGGUAAAUAUAAAUAAUGAAGUAGUUAGAAAAGCGAGAAAACGAAUGUAAAAGAUAAAAUAAAAAAAACUGAAAACAAAUAAGUUUGUUUUUCAUGUCACUAUUAUAUAUCAUAUAUGUAUCAUCAUAUAAUUAAUCAUAUUUUAUAUAUAUCAUCAUAUAAGGGGCUAAUUGUAAUUUUGAUAGCAUUUUGGGUUACUUUUGCAUUUGAUUCAAGUUUGGGCAUAUUUUUGAGGUUAAAAUCAAGUUUUGAGUCAUAUUGGCAAAUUUUCCUAUGAUUUGUUGCUAAAUGUGAUAUGAAAAUUAAUUGUAUGUUUAAUUAAAUCAUAAUUUAAAUUAAAAUAUUGGUAAAAUAAUAAAAUAUAAAAUAAUAAAAUAUAAAAUAAUAAAAAAAUUAUUUUUAAAUAUAAUUUAAAAUUUUUAUUACUGCACAUGGUGGUGCAGUAAAAUACCUAGUAAAUAUAGAGAAAAAAUGUUUUAAGUUUUAACCAUAAACUAGAGUUUGACCCGCACGUCCGUGCUUAUAUUCAUUUUUACGUUUUUAUAAAUUGAUAUUCGUUUUUCAUGAUUAGUGUUUUAUAUUUUAGAUGAGUCUUCGUAUAACUAAUCAUAUUCAAAAGAUCCAGACUGAAUCAUGUAAUAAGAUUAUUUUUGGUACAAAUAUCCAAAUACGUUUCAGAUACAUUGGUUAUUUAGAUAUUUUUAUGUUUCUCCACAUCAGAAUCAAAAUUAUCCAGACCCGGGAGGACUCAACUCGAAUCGCACAUAUAAAUUUAUAAUAUCCAGGCAGAACUUAAUUUCAAAACCCAAAAAAAUUGAUUCCGAAAGAAAUAACUUGUACCUGAAUGAAUACCCAAAUGUAUAUACCUAACUGUAAAUAAAUUUUUUAAAAAACUCUUUCUAUAUGUUUGGCUAAAAUAAGGGAAAUAAAAAGACUUUUUAUUUAAUAAAAUAGUUAUAUGAAGUGAAACAUUAACUGACAACAAGUGUAAUACGUUUUAAUUAUUUUGUUCACAUAAACUAUGCCUUUGAAUUAUGUGUUUGACUACAUAAUUUUUCACAUAUUGGAACUAAGAUAAAAGAAAGUUUUAGUAAAAUAGAUUAACCCGGACUAUUAAUCAUAUGCAAAACCCGGUUAUUUUACAUUUUUGAUUUUUAUAAUUUUCAACAAGUUAUUAUUGAUUAAUUAAUAAAUAAAAUUGAGCAUUAUUACUUUUAUGAUAAUAUAAUUAAUGAUUGAGAAAUGGCAUUGGAUAGCCCUAAUCCAACUUUAUCUUCCCAAUCUAGAUUUCAGGCCCAAAUAUCACAAAAAUGUUCCAUUUAAGAUUGGCAUUUGCCUGUAUUACCCUCAAUAUUAUAUGACCUAAAUUUUAUAUUAAUAAAAGUUAAUAACAUUUCAAAAUUUUCGCCGAGCCAUCGUUGUCUCCGCCAUUGUCGUCGUCGUCACCAUUCUCCACCAUCGUCGUCGUCGCCGCUGUCAUCGUCGUCGUCUCCGCUUUGUCACAGCAUCUCGUCGUCCUUCAGUUUCGUUUCUCAGCAUCUCUGCAUCUUCAAGGUUUUCGAAAUAUGGUUGAAGUGCUUUGUGUUUGUGGAGAAUGGAGUUCAAAAGAAACUUUCAAGUGGGAGUUUGUUGUGGAUAAGAACAUAACUUCAUCGUUUAUUAACUUCGAAGAAGAUCUUCAAUAUGAAGAUUUGCUGAAGAUUGUUUCUGAAGAUUUCCUUAUUCAAGCGGAAGACAUAACCUUGAGUUAUGAGAUUUCUUUGGAGUUUAAAAGCACAGUUGAAGAUGUUCCUCCAAUCUCCAUUGGAAACACUCGCCAACUAAGAAGUUUCAUCGGCAAGAUUAGAGUAUUUGAAGGAAUGUGUCGGUUGUGUAUCAAGGUUCUUCCUGAUUUAGCUAGCUCUAACAAGCAAAUUAUAGAUACAUGUGCUUCUCCAGUUCCUUUGAAUUAUAUUCCAAAUUUUUGUUCUAAUGUGCAGAGAGAACAACAUGUACAUUGUUUCAAAUCUCUUUCGGUGUUUGUAUGAUUUUCUUAUUUCUUAUCCUGUUCAUGAUAGUCUUCUUAAUCAUGUACUAAUCCUUCCUAAACAACUUGAAAUUUGCAGACUCUUCAUGAUUCAUCUAGCUCUAACAAGCAAACUAGAGACACACGUGCUUCUCCAGUUCUUUUGAAUUCUAUUCCAAAUUUUGGUUCUACUCUACAGAGAGAACAACAUGUACUUUGUUUUCAAAUAUCUUUUUGUGUUUGUAUGGUUUUCUUCUUUCUUAUACUGUUCAGGAUAGCCUUCCUAAUCAUGUACUAAUCCUUCCUAAACAACUUGAAUUUUGCAGA